UUUUGUUAUUAUAAAGGUUUUGAAAGCCUUUGAGGAGAAAGUUUUCUCAACAAUUU
rnacentral:tRNA from 1 species